UGCGUAGGUGGUUAUCUAAGUCAGAUGUGAAAUCCCUAGGCUCAACCUAGGAAUUGCGUUUGAGACUGAAUAGCUAGAGUACAGUAGAGGGAAGUGGAAUUUCCGGUGUAGCGGUGAAAUGCGUAGAUAUCGGAAGGAACAUCAGUGGCGAAGGCGACUUCCUGGACUGUUACUGACACUGAGGCACGAAAGCGUGGGGAGCGAACAGGAUUAGAUACCCUGGUAGUCCACGCCGUAAACUAUGAGAACUAGAUGUUAGGGAGCUUCGACUCUUUAGUAUCGCAGCAAACGCGUUAAGUUCUCCGCCUGGGGAGUACGGCCGCAAGGUUAAA
rnacentral:rRNA from 1 species